UUGAUGUUGUUAAACUAGAGCAUGUGCUUCAUAAGUUCAAGGGCAGUAGUGCCAGCGUUGGUGCAAAGAAAGUUGUAAAUGAGAUCAUCAAAACAAGAAGGCUUUUGGGGGAAGGGAACCUAGAAGGGGCAAAAGUUGCCUUCCAAGAGCUGCGGAAGGAGUACGAGAAUCUCAAGGCCAUGCUUGAGCACUACUUU